rfam:Otolemur garnettii contig150305, whole genome shotgun sequence.
GUGCCUGUAGCUCAAAGGAGUAGAGCGCUGGUCCCAUAUGCCAGAGGUGGUGGGUUCAAACCUGGCCCUGGCCCA